GAUGAAGAACGUAGCGAAAUGCGAUAACUAAUGUGAAUUGCAGAAUUCAGUGAAUCAUCGAGUCUUUGAACGCACAUUGCGCCCCCUGGUAUUCCGGGGGGCAUGCCUGUCCGAGCGUCAUUGCUGCCCUCAAGCACGGCUUGUGUGUUGGGCUCCGUCCCCCCGGGGACGGGUCCGAAAGGCAGCGGCGGCACCGAGUCCGGUCCUCGAGCGUAUGGGGCUUUGUCACCCGCUCUGUAGGCCCGGCCGGCGCCAGCCGACAACCAAUCAUCCUUUUUUCAGGUUGACCUCGGAUCAGGUAGGGAUACCCGCUGAACUUAAGCAUAUCAAUAGCGGAGGA
rnacentral:misc_RNA from 1 species